rnacentral:lncRNA from 1 species
CAAGAAAAGGCAUCCAAGAGAAUAGUUCAUGGGAUAAAAUAACUUUUUAAAGAAAAAAAAAGAAAAGGCAUAGUUACUUGAAAUCACAUGGGGGAUGGGUUGUGGGGAAGCAAAAGGCUUUGUGACAGCAUGUGAGGAGGUUCCCUAAUACAGAGUAAGGGAGUGAGAGGGAGAAACAAGGAUCCUCCCACUUCCCCUAUAUGUCUUGCCCUCUCAAAACAAGAUUGAGAAUGACUAGGCUGAGGACUUGCAAUUUAUCUUCCCACAAUUGGUAAGCCAUUGAGCCAGCAUAGGUGUGAUGUUGGGCUAUGAAUGAUGGCAUGAAUGCUCCCUGGUAUUAGAAAGUUCCAGGAGAGUGCGACAAAUUUCCAUCAUUUGUGAAUACCAUGGAAAAUUGCAGGGGGUUAAGUCACUUCGUCACUAACCCCAGAACAUCUACCUGCUAGGUGAGAGGAAGCCCUAGCAGCCAGACAUGCAGAAUGGAGCCUCCCUUGCUUAGUGAAGACUGAAAAACUGAGAAACAGCCUCAGCGAGAUGUCUCACCCCAGAAGACAGAGUAGGGAUUUUUCAUUAUGUUCGACAUUUGGAAAUUUCAACUGAAGAUAAUUGCAGACCCCAAGACCUCUUCUAAUGAUGAUAUGGCUUCCCUGCCAGAUGCUACCAGGAGACAAUUCAUUAACAAAGCUGCUGUCAGUGCUGACAGAUCGGUG